rnacentral:rRNA from 1 species
GAUGAACGCUAGCGGCAGGCUUAAUACAUGCAAGUCAAGGGGGUAGCAAUACAACCGGCGCACGGGUGAGUAACGCGUACACAACAUACCAUAUACUGGAGUAUAGCGUUCGGGAAACUGAAGGUAAUCCUCCAUAACAUUGCGAGAAGGCAUCUAAUUGCAAUUAAAGUUUCGACGGUAUAUGAUUGGUGUGCGUUUGAUUAGCUAGUUGGUAGGGUAACGGCCUACCAAGGCGACGAUCAAUAGCUGGCGUGAGAGCGCGACCAGCCACACUGGAACUGAGACACGGUCCAGGACUCCUACGGGAGGCAGCAGUAGGGAAUAUUGGACAAUGGGCGAAAGCCUG